GUACUAUUGAAGAGUCGCAAAUUAGGACGAAACAGUUGUCCAGUAC
rnacentral:hammerhead_ribozyme from 1 species